UUUUGAUUAUUUUAGCGGCGGACGGGUGAGUAACGUGUGGGUAACCUGCCUUUUACUGGGGAAUAAUCGUUGGAAACGACGACUAAUACCGCAUACGGUUCUUGGAAGGCAUCUUCUAAGAAAGAAAGGAUUUAUUCGGUAAAAGAUGGGCCCGCAUCUGAUUAGCUAGUUGGUGAGAUAAUAGCCCACCAAGGCAACGAUCAGUAGCCGACCUGAGAGGGUGACCGGCCACAUUGGGACUGAGACACGGCCCAAACUCCUACGGGAGGCAGCAG
rnacentral:rRNA from 1 species